rnacentral:lncRNA from 1 species
AAGAGGAUCGAUGCUAUGUGGGCCACGAGACUUUAGUUUUGUAACUGAUUGCAUCUCAUCACGGUUUUAUAAUAGUCUUAUCUGGAAUUGAUGCUGUGUUGACCCUUCUUUGUAAAUAUCAUCUGCAGAUUGUGUUGAGUGCUAAGGAAGUCAGAGGACCAUCACCAUGUAGAAGAACCCUGCCUAAUCGACUGUUUUCUGCUCCACAUCCAGAACUCGGAGUGGCUCCAGCAGAAGAUAUUACAGCCUUGACUUGCUUCUACCAGGCUUCUUGCCUUGUAUCAUGGCUUUAAGAGGUUGUGCACGUGACUGACAAUGUCCACACCAAAGUGAAGCUUUCUUUAAAUGCCUCCAAGUCUUGGAAAACCGAGAUCGCCUUAAGGCCUGUGAGAGUAGCUGGAACAUUUGGGAAAGCAUGGUUGCUGAUGGCAUCCACUGUGAGAAUGUGGUUUUAUGAGAAGUUAUUCACCCAGCUCCCAGUUACCACGCUGGCAGCAGUUGAAGGGCACCUUGUAAGAAGAAAACCUCUCAGCAACAGAAAGUCUCCUGGCUCUGAAAAGUAUCUUCCCAUUCCUGCAGAGGUCUUGUUUGCUCAAACCCAGCCAUGCCAUGUUAUCUCAGCAUGGAAUUAGUCUUUUCAAAGGCUAAAUAAAUUUGAGUAACUUGCAUCA